GAUGAAGAACGCAGCGAAAUGCGAUAAGUAAUGUGAAUUGCAGAAUUCAGUGAAUCAUCGAAUCUUUGAACGCAUCUUGCGCUCCCUGGUAUUCCGAGGAGCAUGCCUGUUUGAGUGUCAUCAAGUUCCUCAAACCACAUCUUGGUGUGGUUCUGGAUGUGGGGGUUUUUUGUGCAGGCUUCUGAAAUAUGAAGUCGGCUCCCCUGAAAUGAAUUAGUGGUAUCUGACUACUAUGGGGUGUGAUAAAUUAUCUAUGCCCUUUGGUAUGCUGCACUGCUUCUAAUUGAAUCUUUUUGAUGAAUUUGACCUCAAAUCAGGUAGGACUACCCGCUGAACUUAAGCAUAUCAAUAAGCGGAGGA
rnacentral:misc_RNA from 1 species